rnacentral:tRNA from 1 species
UGGGGCGUGGUCGAGUGGUAAGUCAGCAGGUUUUGGCCCUGUUAUUCGGAGGUUCGAGUCCUUCCGUCCCAG